AUGAACGCUAGCGACAGGCCUAACACAUGCAAGUCGAGGGGCAGCACAAGGAGCAAUCUGAGGUGGCGACCGGCGCACGGGUGAGUAACACGUAUGCAACCUGCCUGUAAGCGGGGAAUAACCCGUUGAAAGACGGACUAAUACCGCAUAAUACUAAAUUACUGCAUGGUAAUUUAUUUAAACAUUUAUGGCUUACAGAUGGGCAUGCGCAUGAUUAGCUAGUUGGAGAGGUAACGGCUCCCCAAGGCAACGAUCAUUAGGGGUUCUGAGAGGAAGGUCCCCCACACUGGUACUGAGACACGGACCAGACUCCUACGGGAGGCAGCAGUGGGGAAUAUUGGUCAAUGGACGAGAGUCUGAACCAGCCAAGUCGCGUGCAGGAAGAAUGUUCCCUAUGGAUUGUAAACUGCUUUUGCAGGGGAAUAAGGUGCAUCACGUGUGAUGUUUUGUAUGUACUCUGCGAAUAAGGAUCGGCUAACUCCGUGCCAGCCGCAGC
rnacentral:rRNA from 1 species